rnacentral:rRNA from 1 species
AGCAGCCGCGGUAAUUCCAGCUCCAAUAGCGUAUAUUAAAGUUGUUGCAGUUAAAAAGCUCGUAGUUGAAUUUCGGGGUCAGUAGGCUGGUCAUGCCACUGGUAUGUACUGGUUCCACUGAUUCCUCCUUCCUGAUGAACCGUAAUGCCAUUAAUUUGGUGUUGCGGGGAAUCUGGACUGUUACUUUGAAAAAAUUAGAGUGUUUAAAGCAGGCUAACGCUUGAAUACAUUAGCAUGGAAUAAUGAAAUAGGACGUUUGAUUCUAUUUUGUUGGUUUCUAGGAUCGACGUAAUGAUUAAUAGGGAUAGUUGGGGGCAUUAGUAUUCAAUUGUCAGAGGUGAAAUUCUUGGAUUUAUUGAAGACUAACUACUGCGAAAGCAUUUGCCAAGGAUGUUUUCAUUAAUCAAGAACGAAAGUUAGGGGGUCGAAGACGAUCAGAUACCGUCGUAGUCUUAACCAUAAACUAUGCCGACUAGGGAUCGGAUGAUGUUAAUUUUUUAAUGACUCAUUCGGCGCCUUA